rnacentral:rRNA from 1 species
UACGUAGGGUGCAAGCGUUGUCCGGAAUUAUUGGGCGUAAAGAGCUCGUAGGCGGUCUGUCGCGUCUGCUGUGAAAACUCGGGGCUUAACCCCGGGCCUGCAGUGGGUACGGGCAGACUAGAGUGCGGUAGGGGAGACUGGAAUUCCUGGUGUAGCGGUGAAAUGCGUAGAUAUCAAGAGGAACACCUGAGGUGAAGACGGGUUGCUGGGCCGACACUGACGCUGACAGCGCGAAAGCCAGGGGAGCAAACGGG